UUUUUGGAGAGUUUGAUCCUGGCUCAGGACGAACGCUGGCGGCGUGCCUAAUACAUGCAAGUCGAGCGGAGUUGUAAGAGAGCUUGCUCUCGAUCAACUUAGCGGCGGACGGGUGAGUAACACGUAGGCAACCUGCCCCUUGGACUGGGAUAACUACCGGAAACGGUAGCUAAUACCGGAUAAGACCUUCUGGUG
rnacentral:rRNA from 1 species